GUCCCCUUCGUCUAGAGGCUUAGGACAUCGCCCUUUCACGGCGGCAACAGGGGUUCGAAUCCCCUAGGGGACGCCA
rnacentral:tRNA from 1 species